ACUAUUUGGAUAUUGGAUCUUUAUGAUUAGAUCUAUGGAUUGGAUGGAUAUGAUAGAUAUACAGACACAGAAUAUGCAGAUCUAUGAUACAGUGUUAUAGGUUCGUCAUAUCAGUCCUUUCUUACUCAAUCAUAGACCUAUGAUGACUUCUCCAUCGAACACUUCCUCCCUAACGUGGCCUGAUUGCUCCCGCAGAUUUUGGAGGUCGCCAUCGCCACGCUGUUUUGCUGUCCAUGUUCGGAAACUGCGGCUGAAGAUUGACAAUAAAUAGAAGUGGAAGAGUGUUCAUUUUGAUGCUAGUGGAAAAGCAAGUUUGUCUGCUGUGGUGUUCUUUUUACCUUAGGGGAUCUUCUAGUUAAUUUAGGAACAUUAUAAAAACUUAGGAUCCCAAUAAAUUACUGAGCAUUGGUUGUAUCAGUCUUCAUUUGCUCCAGAAAGUAGCUGCACCUACGGUCCUAAAGAGAGCAGAAAGUGCUUUUUUCCCCAUUGGGAACAGAGUCAGUGUGCCACUGCUAAAGGAAGGAUUUGUAAAGAUGAAUGAACCGAUAAGGAACAGUAUUAAUUAAAAACAGUAAAUGAGGUCGCAGAAACUUCAGGUUUUUAGACAUUUAUAACUUAUUUUCAAUAGACACUUUUUAAACAACGUUUUAAAAAUGGCAGAAACAGAACAGCAAAAUUAAUGUGGAAAUGACCUUUCCAUCAGUGUGAAUGUUUAUUUAUUUGCUUUAAAUGUGGUAAUUAAUUACAUUUUCUUGCCCGUUUCUGUAGAUUGCCCAACAAAUGACAAGGAAUUGUUUUUGACGUCUUCAUCUUGUAACAUUAUGGAGUUAAUUUUAAUUUUGCGAGUGAGAGGCAAGUGGAAAUUAAUUUUGAAACGACUGAAACAAGAAAUUGCAGUAGUAUUCCUCCUGGAUUUGGCUUGCUCAUUGCACCUGUGCAAUUUAGAACGCUACUUUCUACAGUUAAUGAAGGUGAGAAUGCACACUUGCUCUCUAUUAAUCUUAUUGGUUACUUGUCUUAUCAAUUGACUAUUGUUCACAGUUUAAAUUGAUGUUGACGUGUAUCUACGGUACUUCAUUUAUUUAAGUAUCUAUUGUUAA